rfam:Streptococcus sp. TA 26, complete genome.
CGUCCAGUGCAACCGCUCGGAAAUCGUUAGUUAAGCAGAAAGUGACUUUCUCACGAUUGCGGCGAGUCUUCACAAGAGG